GUGCUUAGUUUGGCAGCACUUAUACUAAAAUUGGAAAAAUAUGGAGAUUAGUAUAGUUUCAGCUCAAGAAUGACAUGCAAAUUUGUGAAACAUUACAUAUUUUU